rnacentral:rRNA from 1 species
AUUGAACGCUGGCGGCAGGCCUAACACAUUCACGUCGAACGAGUGGCGGACGGGUGCGUCAUGUCUGGGAAACUGCCCGAUGGAGGGGAAUAACUCCUGGAAACGGUAGCUAAUACCGCAUACCAUUGGAUAUGCCCAGAUGGGAUUAGCUAGUAGGUGGGGUAAAGGCUCCCCUAGGCGACGAUCCCUAGCUGGUCUGAGAGGAUGACCAGACACACGGGAACUGAGACACGGUCCAGACUCCUACGGGAGGCAGCAGUGGGGAAUAUUGCACAAUGGGCGCAAGCCUGAUGCAGCCAUGCCGCGUGUAUGAAGAAGGCCUUCGGGUUGUAAAGUACUUUCAGCGGGGAGGCGUUACCCGCAGAAGAAGCACCGGCUAACUCCGUGCCAGCAGCCGCGGUAAUUC